GACGAACGCUGGCGGCGUGCCUAAUACAUGCAAGUAGAACGCUGAAGGAGGAGCUUGCUUCUCUGGAUGAGUUGCGAACGGGUGAGUAACGCGUAGGUAACCUGCCUGGUAGCGGGGGAUAACUAUUGGAAACGAUAGCUAAUACCGCAUAAUAGUAGAUGUCGCAUGACAUUUGCUUAAAAGGUGCAAUUGCAUCACUACCAGAUGGACCUGCGUUGUAUUAGCUAGUUGGUGAGGUAACGGCUCACCAAGGCAACGAUACAUAGCCGACCUGAGAGGGUGAUCGGCCACACUGGGACGGAGACACGGCCCAGACUCCUACGGGAGGCAGCAGUAGGGAAUCUUCGGCAAUGGACGGAAGUCUGACCGAGCAACGCCGCGUGAGUGAAGAAGGUUUUCGGAUCGUAAAGCUCUGUUGUAAGAGAAGAACGAGUGUGAGAGUGGAAAGUUCACACUGUGACGGUAUCUUACCAGAAAGGGACGGCUAACUACGUG
rnacentral:rRNA from 1 species